UAUUUUGAUGGAGGCACUGGGGAUUGAACCCAUGACCUCGUGCAUGCUAAGCACAUGCUCUACCCCUAAGCAUACCCUCUCCCCCAACACAUGCAUUCUC